GCUUUACUGGGCAAACCCGACUGGAUUUUAGAGAAUCAAAGCCCCACAUGGCUCCACAUCUGGAGAACAGGCCUGCCUGGAAAACUACCUCUACCUGCAAGUAGAAAUGGAGAUAUUGUUCAGAUUUACCCCAUUCAGCUAUUCAACACACAAGUGUCUGGAAAGGGAGGCUCAGCCUCCAGAAUACAUGAGGAUUGAUGUGGCGAGCUCAAGACCAGCCUGGUGGUUCAGUCUGUUUCUGAGUUACAGGCUGAGCCUAGAAGGUGAAUGCCUUCUUGACCAGUGUAAUAGCCAGCCAAGUUUAUGUUAUGCCAUGGUUACUACGUGGAGUCUUAAAAGCUUCUAUACACCACUCUUCUAACAGAUGAUCCAAAAAAUAAUAAAGGCAAGAUCAUGCUGAGGAGCACUCAGAUGGAAAAUUAGGCUUUGCAAAUGAACAUUCAGUUCCAAGAAUAUCGGUAACAAUGGUGAAGAUCUGGACAAUCUUGUUGAUCUUUCCUGUAGCUUUGGCAGAGAGAUGACAAAAAAUGGGAUUGAGAAUAAGAAAUAAAAUUUUACAAACUUGUAGAGAAAGACUGACAAUUAUACAACUAUGGUUAGUUUGAGAGUUAGAAUUGACUUUAAACCUGUCUUAAUUGUCUAAUUAGAGAUAAUAAUCAAUAGCAGGUAGUGCCCUUACUCCUGUGAACACGCUUCUAAGGCUGACAUUAGAUGUCUGCCUCUGUAAUCAAUACAAAACAUGCUGUCCAGGCUGAUCUCAAGCCACUGUCACCUCUGUAAUGAAUAAACAUUUCCCAGGAGCGCUCUG